rnacentral:rRNA from 1 species
ACGCACGCUGGCGGCGUGCUUCACACCUGCCAGUCGCACGGAAAGGCUCCAGCUUGCUGGAGUACUCGAGUGGCGAACGGGUGAGUAACACGUGGGUAAUCUGCCCUGCACUCUGGGAUAAGCCUGGGAAACUGGGUCUAAUACUGGAUAUGACCUUUCUCCUUAUGGGGUUUGGUGGAAAGUUUUUCGGUGUAGGAUGAGCCCGCGGCCUAUCAGCUUGUUGGUGGGGUGAUGGCCUACCAAGGCGACGACGGGUAGCCGGCCUGAGAGGGUGAUCGGCCACAUUGGGACUGAGAUACGGCCCAGACUCCUACGGGAGGCAGCAGUGGGGAAUAUUGCACAAUGGGCGGAAGCCUGAUGCAGCGACGCCGCGUGAGGGAUGACGGCCUUCGGGUUGUAAACCUCUUUCAGCAGGGACGAAGCGUAAGUGACGGUACCUGCAGAAGAAGCACCGGCUAACUAUGUG